UGGGGAAUCUUCCGCAAUGGACGAAAGUCUGACGGAGCAACGCCGCGUGAGUGAAGAAGGUCUUCGGAUUGUAAAACUCUGUUAUACGGGACGAAAAAGGCGGAUGCCAACAGUAUCCGUCCGUGACGGUACCGUAAGAGAAAGCCACGGCUAACUACGUGCCAGCAGCCGCGGUAAUACGUAGGUGGCAAGCGUUGUCCGGAAUUAUUGGGCGUAAAGGGCGCGCAGGCGGUUCGGUAAGUCUGUCUUAAAAGUGCGGGGCUUAACCCCGUGAGGGGACGGAAACUGUCGAACUUGAGUGUCGGAGAGGAAAGCGGAAUUCCUAGUGUAGCGGUGAAAUGCGUAGAUAUUAGGAGGAACACCGGUGGCGAAAGCGGCUUUCUGGACGACAACUGACGCUGAGGCGCGAAAGCGUGGGGAGCAAACAGG
rnacentral:rRNA from 1 species